rnacentral:rRNA from 1 species
CCUACGGGGGGCUGCAGUCGAGAAUCAUUCACAAUGGGCGAAAGCCUGAUGGUGUGACGCCGCGUGGAGGAUGAAGGUCUUCGGAUUGUAAACUCCUGUCAAGUGAGAGUAAAGCCGGGCGUUAACUGCGAGCCGGUUUGAGAGUAUCACUAGAGGAAGAGACGGCUAACUCUGUGCCAGCAGCCGCGGUAAUACAGAGGUCUCAAGCGUUGUUCGGAAUCACUGGGCGUAAAGGGUGCGUAGGCUGCACGGUAAGUCAGAUGUGAAAGCCCGGAGCUCAACUUCGGAAUUGCAUCCGAUACUGCCGUGCUUGAGGACUGGAGAGGAGAUUGGAAUUCACAGUGGAGCAGUGAAAUGCGUAGAUAUUGUGAGGAACACUAGUGGCGAAGGCGAAUCUCUGGACAGUUCCUGACGCUGAGGCACGAAAGCCAGGGGAGCAAACGGGCUUAGAUACCCCGGUAGUC